rfam:TPA: Bos taurus chromosome 4, whole genome shotgun sequence.
UCCCUGGUGGCUCAGAUGGUAAAGCGUCUGCCUGCAGUGUGGGAGACCCGGGUUCGAUCCCUGGAUUGGGAA